AGAAUGGAUGCCAUUAUCAGCUUGCUCCUCCCUGGAAUGAAGCUACCAAAAUGAGUCUUCCCUUUGAGAACGACCCUGUCCCUGGAAGAGGUUCAAUACCAGCCAACAUUCCUUCAAAAGACAUCUACUGACUGCUUGCUAUGCGAUCACUACUGUGCUAAUUAUUGGAAAAUCAAAGACAAAAGAAGCCUUGUGUCUAGAAGAGAGGGACAAGAACACAAAAAUGUGAGCACAUGUAAUUAAAUGAUGCCAUUAAACAGAUUUAAAACA